CUAAAAAUAUAUUUGUUUAUCUGAUUACUCGAUUAAUCGAUAGAAUUUUCAGUCGAUUACUAAAAUAUUCGAUAGCUGCAGUCCUAAUAUAUAUUGUAUAUAUAUACACACACACACACACGUACACAUAUACUGUAUAUACGAAAUAUAGUCCCAUUCCUCCUUUGUUAGUGCCUCCGCCCAUCCCUCCUGAGACCUGACCCUCCUUGGGCAGGUCCACGUGUUUUUAUCUGAUUACGGGUUGGGAUGUCUGACGGGUGGAGUGACCACAGGUGUGGGCAAUAACAAUCAGCCAUCUUUAAAAGCCAGUGGACGCCACCACCUCCUCGCCUGAUCAACUCGUCUGCUUACCUCUCGCUGAUUGUCGGAUUCCACGCCUGCCUCAGUUCUGAGCCCCCUCUUCGCCCCGGCUAGACUACUCCAACCCACCUUCUGCCUUGGCUCUCAUGUCAUCAACUAUCUUGUGUUCACCACUAAAGUAUCAUUCAUCUCAACCAGCUGACUGCUUGGGGAUCCACCCCCGAUCCCCCCCCCAUGCUCAUGCACCUCUAACAUCCUUAAACAAGGUGGUUGUGGUCAACUCAUCUAAUCAGUGGUUUAAUUGACGGGAGAACUCUUAGGCUUUCCCAAGGCCUUGCUUCUGAGGACCGCAUCGCUGUGGCCAGCUCACAGCUUCCUGCUCUACAGGAAAGGCUGGAGAAGCCUCCCUCCACAUCAGGGCCCCGGCAUGGGUUCGUCCUUCCUCCAAACAGGACGGGACAGGCUCCUAAGUUGCGGCCGGGUAGACGACCUGCUAGUGCCACUGCCGUGCGGCCCAUCGCUCCAGCAGCUCCUCCUGCUCCCCCAGCCCCUGCAUCACUCCCCCAGGUCAUUGUUCUAUACCAUGGUGCAGGUGGGACCUCAGCUGCCCGUCUGGGCUCUAACUCCUGUUGCCCCAGUGGCAGGCCAAAACUAAAGAGUUUGAAUAAACUGUAAAUAUGUGAGCCCAUUUAUCCCACGAAAAUGUAAAUUCUAUUACCCUUUUCCUGUGUAUAUAUUAUGUCAUAUUCAAUUUUAUAUGACUAAGUACUGCAUUAUAUUUGUAUGUUAUUUGCAUGUUUUUAUUUACCCAAAUUUAAUAGUGUCUUCAUUAAGGUGCGUUAUGUCCUGCAUAUCGUUUUGUAAAUAAAUACUGACUCACUGAUUCUUUGUGCAAAACAUAUUUGUUAAGUAAUAUUUAGUACUGGGUAUUAAAGUAAACAUGAAAUUGUAAUCUAUGACCAUAUGUCAUUUAAAGAGGAAAAUUUAGACUGCAUUUUGUACUGCUACUUCACUAGGCCCAGUACUUAUUAUACCAUUUAUAAACUAUACAUAUUGACAAAUGAAAAUAGGUUAAGGAAUGAAGUUGUCCGGAUCGUGUAAUUGUGGGCAAUAUUCAAUGCCUUUAUUGUCAACUGCUGCUACUUCACUUCAACUAUUUGCACUGCCUGAACAUAGGACUACCUCCUACAUAUUUUAUAUUUAUUUAGAUUUUAUACUUUAUUCUUGCAAGCCACUUUCGAGAUUUUUUUUUCUUGUCCUGCACUGUAAAGGGAGAUUUCAUUGUA